AACGAACGCUGGCGGCAUGCCUAACACAUGCAAGUCGAACGAGACCUUCGGGUCUUGUGGCGCACGGGUGUGUCACGCGUGGGAACCUUCACUUAGGGUCGGAAUAACUCCCCGAAAGGGGUGCUAAUACCGGAUCAUGUCUUCUGACCAAAGAUUUAUCGCCUUUGGUUGGUCCCUCGUUGGAUUAGCUAGUUGGUAGAGUAAAAGACUACCAAGGCGACGAUCCAUAGCUGGUAUGAGAGGAUGAUCAGCCACACUGGGAGUGAGACACGGCCCAGACUCCUACGGGAGGGAGCAGGGGGGAAUAUGGGACAAUGGGCGAAAGCCUGAUCCAGCAAGGCCGCGUGAGUGAUGAAGGCGUUAGGGUUGUAAAGCUCUUUUACCCGGGAUGAUAAUGACAGUACCGGGAGAAUAAGCUCCGGCUAACUCCGG
rnacentral:rRNA from 1 species